CUACGGAGGGAUCUAGCGUUAUUCGGAAUUACUGGGCGUAAAGCGAGCGUAGGCGGAUCUGUAAGUUGGAGGUGAAAUCCCAGAGCUCAACUCUGGAAUUGCCUUCAAAACUACAUUUCUUGAGUUUGGUAGAGGAGAGUGGAAUUCCUAGUGUAGAGGUGAAAUUCGUAGAUAUUGGGAAGAACACCAGUGGCGAAAGCGACUUUCUGGCUAUUUUCUGACGCUGAGGAGCGAAAGCGUGGGGAGCAAACAGGAUUAGAUACCCUGGUAGUCCACGCCGUAAACGAUGUGUGCUAGAUGUUGGGAGGCUACCUUUCAGUGUCGCAGCUAACGCACUAAGCACACCGCCUGGGGAAGUACGGUCGCAAGAUUAAAACUCAAAGGAAUUGACGGGGACCCGCACGAGCGGUGGAGUAUGUGGUUUAAUUCGAUGCUACGCGAAGAACCUUACCAGGGUUUGACAUAGUUCCAAAACUCCUUGAAAGAGGAGCCUCCUUCGGGAUGGAACAACAGGUGUGC
rnacentral:rRNA from 1 species